GCCGGGCACAGGGGCACACGCCUGUAAUCCCAGCAGUUCUGGAGGCUGAGGCAGGAGGAUUGCGAGUUCAAAACCAGCCUCAGCAAAAGUGAGGUGCUUAGCAACUCAGUGAGAUCCUGCCUCUA
rnacentral:sRNA from 1 species